rnacentral:tRNA from 1 species
GGUUAAUUAGUUUAGAAGUGAGAAUGCUGUUUUUGUAAAACAGAGGGGUCUUAUAGGCAUUUUCCA